ensembl:snRNA U1 U1 spliceosomal RNA
AUACUUACCUGGCAGGGCAGAUACUGUGAUCACGAAAGUGGUUCUCCCAGGGCUAGGCUCGCCCAUUGCCCUGCGGGUGUGUAGACCUCUGCGGUUUCCCCAAAAGCGGGAAACUCAACUGCAUAGUUUGUGAUAGUUGGGGACUGCGUGUGCAGCUUUCCCCUG